UACGUAGGGACCAAGCGUUGUUCGGAUUUACUGGGCGUAAAGGGCGCGUAGGCGGCUUAACAAGUCACUUGUGAAAUCUCCGGGCUUAACUCGGAACGGUCAAGUGAUACUGUCGGACUAGAGUACAGAAGGGGCAACUGGAAUUCUCGGUGUAGCGGUGAAAUGCGUAGAUAUCGGGAGGAACACCAGUGGCGAAGGCGGCGAUCUGGGCUGAUACUGACGCUGAGGUGCGAAAGCGUGGGGAGCAAACAGG
rnacentral:rRNA from 1 species